UUACUAAUCACCCUUUACCCAAAGGGCAGUCUGCCACGGAGUGGGGAAUGCUGAGGACGGUUAGCUGGGCACCUGCAUGCAUUCCCAGGAGAGCAGCGAUCUCGAAGAGUUCUGACGGGAGAUCGAACUCGGGUCCUUGCGCUAGCGAGGCAGGUGGCGGAACCACUGAGCUAAAUCCCCCGGUCCCUGUUUCUUUGUUUUUGAGACAGGCUCAGGGUGCCCUCAAGCUUGCGAUCUUCCUGCCUCAGUCUCCCAAGUGCUGGAAUUACUGCUCAGCACCAACAGUGAGUAUAAUAAAUACUAAGACUGCAGAAUACCCUCAAGAACUAUAUAUGGAACUA
ensembl:lncRNA